GCUGUGAAGUUCUGUCUUCAGCUCUCAGUUCUCCAGUCUGACAGAACUGGACCUGAGUCAGAACCGGCUGCAGGAUUCAGGAGUAAAGUUGCUGUCUGCUGGACUGGAGAGUCCACACUGUCACCUGGAGACUCUCAGGCUGAGUUUGUGUGAUCUGUCAGAGAAGCUGUGAAGUUUUCGGCUCUGUCCUCACGUCUGUGAACUGGACGUGAGUAACAACGAUCUGCAGGAUUCAGGAGUGAAGCUGCUGUCUGCUGGACUGGAGAGUCCACACUGUCACCUGGAGACUCUCAGGCUGUCAGGCUGUCUGAUCACACAUGAAGGCUGUGCUUCUCUGGCCUCAGCUCUGACCUCCAACACCUCCCAUCUGAGAGAGCUGGACCUGAGCUACAACCAUCCAGGAGACUCAGUCAAGCUGCUGGAUCCACACCGGACUCUGGACUCUCUCAGGGUGGAUCCUGGUGGAGUCCGAUGGCUGAGACCAGGUCUGAGGAAGUAUUUCUGUGAACUCUCUCUGGAUCCAAACUCAGCGAA